GACGAACGCUGGCGGCGUGCUUAACACAUGCAAGUCGAACGGAAAGGCCCUGCUUUUGUGGGGUGCUCGAGUGGCGAACGGGUGAGUAACACGUGAGUAACCUGCCCUUGACUUUGGGAUAACUUCAGGAAACUGGGGCUAAUACCGGAUAGGAGCUCCUGCUGCAUGGUGGGGGUUGGAAAGUUUCGGCGGUUGGGGAUGGACUCGCGGCUUAUCAGCUUGUUGGUGGGGUAGUGGCUUACCAAGGCUUUGACGGGUAGCCGGCCUGAGAGGGUGACCGGCCACAUUGGGACUGAGAUAGGGCCCAGACUCCAACGGGAGGCAGCAGGGGGGAAUAUUGCACAAUGGGCGGAAGCCUGAUGCAGCAACGCCGCGUGCGGGAUGACGGCCUUCGGGUUGUAAACCGCUUUCGCCUGUGACGAAGCGUGAGUGACGGUAAUGGGUAAAGAAGCACCGGCUAACUACGUG
rnacentral:rRNA from 1 species